GUGGGGGAACCUGGAGGGCAGGGGCUGUGCGUGCUGUCCCGGUGAUGCUGUGCAUCCCUCCCCUCACACCAACCUGUGCCAACCAGGAGCGCAAUCAGAGCCACCCGCUGCAGCUGUGGGCUCAGCCCUGGGGUGCUGCAUGGGAAGGGCACUCGCCGAUGGACACAGCAGAGCAGGAGGAGCAGGGAGGUUACAAACGAGAUGAUGGCAGAGCGAUGCUUUGUAGAUUGCAGAGCAGAGGGCCAUUCCUUGCUUCUAUGGAGACAGCUCCCCAUAAAGGCUAAUAGGUUUUUGAAGGAUACAGAGCAUGGAGGGAUCUGUUGGCUCCACGAGGCCGUUCUUUUAGUGCAGGGACUGAGCUGGGUGCCCAGUGAAGGGGUCCCCCCACCAGAACCCCUACAAAGCACAUCCAGGAUGCAGCUGGAGGGCGGUUUUGGGAGCCAGGCUUAGCACUUUGCUAAUGCAAUCACCACCGUGGGUCACUGCAGAUCCUGACAGCUUUGCUCUGCGCAGGGAACUGGGCUGACAAACACCUCACCACCUCAUUGUGAACCCAUAAAUGUCUCUCAGGUAAAUAACCCUGCACCUAUAGAGGUGGGUGCUGGAGUAACGUGCACAUAGGGCAGCACUCAACAUCAGCAAUGCUGCCGUCCCACAGCCUCCCCCAGAGCCAACCUCCAAGCCUGCAUGAAGCAGGUAAUACCAUGACUGCAACUGAAGAACAACCACAGACGUUCCCAAGGAUCUCACCGAUGCUCUGAUCAGAACAAUUCUUUUUUCCCCUCGUGGGUAUGCAUUGCAGGUGAGUGGUUCCUGCCACGGCAGUGCAAGUGCAAUGACAGCAGCAAUGAAGACAAAGUGUUGGUGGAGUAUCCUGUUGGGGAUAAUCAUACACAAGCAGGGGAUGAGGAGGUGACCCGUUUGGUCUCCUCCAUCUGCAAUUCUUGUUUACUUUGUUCGUCUUUAUGAGGGAGUGUGAUUAUGCGACUGCUGUAAUGAGUUUAAAUUUAUCUCAGCAGUGCUUUGGAAGUAAGAUUUUAUUAGAGCGAUAGGAAAGCUUCCCCAACUCCUGUCCCCAUCCUUACCCAUAAAAAUGCACAGGAGCCAUAAAUAAGCAGCUCUGCAGCGGCCGGGAAGGGGAGCACUUCCACAGCCCCACUGUAUUUCAUGGUUUAAUUAUCAGCAGCACAAAGUUCUGUGGGCCUGGAGGGGACAGUUAAAAUGUCUCUGCAGAAAGUGCUCUGAAGUGACGCUCUGUAAUGAACGUGAGGCUGUCUCCCGGUGUAAGAGAGUGUCUCCUACGAAGCAACUUGGUUUUAAUCUCCUUUGAAUGCUCUUUGACAAACGGGCCAGGCUGCACGGCACAGCGUCGCUGAAAGGGGAUAACUUUUGCAAAGUCAUCUGUUGGCUUUCAAAGCUCUCCGGCCACAAGGGCUGAGCAGAGGGGGUGCUGCGGGGGGGGGGCAGAGGUUGGAGCAUCAUGCAAUGAGGGAGCAGCCCUGGGUGUGGGGUGCAGCCCUGGGCAAGGGGUGCAGCUGGCACCUGCACAGUGUAAGAAGGCCUUGGUGCAAACUUUAUGGAGCUGUAGCAGUGCUGGGAUGUGCAGCGCUGUGGGGCACAGCGGAGGGACCUGCACCCAAAUCCAGCCAGCUGCGGGGUGGUUUGGGGGGGAUGGAAGGGUGUCAGGAUGCAGCUGAUGUUGCUCUCAUUUCAUUAACAGCAGCAGAAGCAUUUCACGGGCAAUUGGAGAUAAAUACCAGCGCUGCACAAUGAGCAGCGAGAGACAGCUGCAGUGCAAAUGGAUUGCUUCCUUUUGAUAAAAUCAGCCUGUAUGGAAAGGUCUGAAGGUAUGGAAGGAGAGGGGUGGUGGCCCACCAUCAGCUCCCACUUGUUCCCCAUCCAAGAGCCCCUCACCACAGUAAAUUAUCUUUGAUAUAACGGCACUUGUACUGUGCUUGACACUACAGGAGAAUCACCGGUAUCUGUCUUGCACCCUAAUUAGUUACUGUGACAUUAAUCAGGCUGCUCAGCAUAACGCAUACCCACAGCAAACCCAGAGCUAAAAAUACGAGGCUGAGUUUAUAUAGGCAAUCAGGACAUUAAUAAUUUUUUAGAGGGAGUUGUCUCGGCUGCUUUAGGCAGGCACUUGUGUUCAAUCUCCAUGCCUAUAGAUUUUCCUGCUCAUAAAACAGAUAAGAGUGACCUCGAGGUAAGUGGUAUUUUGUAUGAAAUGAUGCAUGGAAAUCCCCUUCCUGCUCAAGCCCUGGCUUCUCCCAGUGGCUGCAACCCUGGCUUUGCUGUAAGGAUGCGCUGGGCUGCAGCUCAGGGCAGUCCCAUGGCACGAUGGCAUGGACAUGUCACAUAUCUCCUAGUAAGAAGGUCAGAUAAUGGGAAAGAUUUCUCCUCAGGAAGAGUGGUGAUGCAUUGGCACAG
ensembl:lncRNA